rnacentral:lncRNA from 1 species
AGAAAGUCAAAGGCAGUCAUUGAGCAAUAGAUGGUGGCCAUUCUUGAGAAUUUGGAUACCACAGUCAUUAUCAAGACUUCAUAUGAGCCAUGAUAUCAUUUUGAAUCAAAAUCCCAAGUGGUAGAGGCUUGAAUUUCAUCAGAACAUUGCCAGGUCAACUGGAGGCCUAGGAAGUCAACUGCUCAGUCAACUGUGGAUUUGGAGGUGGGAAGUGAUUAGAAAU